rnacentral:rRNA from 1 species
GACUACAUGAAGCUGGAAUCGCUAGUAAUCGCAAAUCAGAAUGUUGCGGUGAAUACGUUCCCGGGUCUUGUACACACCGCCCGUCACACCAUGGGAGUUGGGAGUGCCCAAAGCCGGUGAGGCAACCGAAAGGAGCCAGCCGUCUAAGGCAAGACCAAUGACUGGGGUGAAGUCGUAACAAGGUAAC